UUACAAGAAAAUACAGGGAAAGCAAAAAGGGAUGGUGAAGCAUCCUGAGGCUGGCAGCAAGAAGGAGCUAUUGCCUCUCCUGAAGGGCCAAGGAAGGGAGAAGCUACUAGCAUAGGAGCCAUGGACUCUGACACAGUGAAUAACCAGCCACCCAAGGAGAGCCAGAGGAAUAAGUUCCUACUGCUUUUGCUGUCCGCACUCCUCCCAGGGCCUCGAGUUGGUGGGUCCCUCUUGGAGAUGGACAACUCACAGAGGUCAGCCCUAGGGUACAGAGCAGGAUGGAGAGCAGAGAGUGGACCUGUAGGAGCAAAUGGAAACUGCCUAGCACAAAUUCUUUUCAAAAUCUUCACACUCAUCUUGAGAAAAUCAGCUCUUUUUGUAGAGAAGAACCAAUGGCACCCUGAGGUACAGCUUUCAAUAGCAGGCAAUAACUGCCAGCAGCAGUUCUCCCAGAGUCCAAGCUAUUCAGUCAAGAAUAGCAAUUUUUGUGCACCUACCUGUAAUCCCAAUGACUCAGGAGGCUGAGGCAGGAGGAUUUCAAAUUUGAGGCCAGCCUCAACAACUUAGCAGGGCUCUGUCUCAAAAUAAAGAAGUCCUGGGGAUGUAGUUCAUAACGAUUCUGUGGGGAGGGCACUAAGGUGGACUUUGUCCAAUCUGUGGGGGGAAAAGAAGUAUUUUAUGCUCCAAAAUCUUGCGUCUUCUCAGCUCUUCUUACCACUGUGAGGCUAAGAUGUAGCUAGCUCUUCUCUUUGAUUUUUGAGGGUAACUACUUGUACGAGUUUGCUCAGGCUGCUAUAACAGUGUUGUUAGGGCUUCAAGAAUAGGAAUUUAUUCUGGGGGCCAAAAGUCUGAAAUCAAGUUCUCAGAAGGGUUGGUUCCUUCUGCAUGGCCUUGAGAGAAAGAUCUAUUUCAUACCUUUCUCCUUGGUUGGUAGGUGGCUGUCUUCUGCUUGUUACUUCACAUCAUCUUUCCUCUGUACAUGUCUGUGUCCAAAUUUCUUUUUUAAAAAAUUACUUUGAUAAUAUUUAUUUAAAAUAUGAAAGAAAAAGCAAACCCCUUAAAAUUUAUCUUGAAACUUCUGCAAUAGUUAACAACCUAUUGAAGUCUUUUAAUUCAUUUAGAAUAUAAAUCUGUGUUAACUGUCUAUAAAAAGGUUAGUGAAUGCAGGCUCAAUGCCAAAUUUCCUCUUUGGGCCCACACUGAUUACCUCAUUUUAUUGCCUAUUUUAAAGACUCUGUCUCCAAAUCCAGUUACAUUUUGAGGCACCAGGGGCGAGGAUUUUCUUACUGUCACAUUAUCAGUAUAGAUUCCCUUGACCACCAUAGAGUUGACGAGGGCAUGAAAGAUGCCAUCUGCCUUUCAGAGCCAUCAGCCUGCCCACUACCCUUAGAAAGAUCACUUUCCGGGCUGGGGAUGUGGCUCAAGCAGUAACG
rnacentral:lncRNA from 1 species